UCCCUGGUGGUCCAGUGGUCAGGACUCAGCACUCCCAGUGCAGGGGGGCCUGGGUUCAAACCCUGGUCAGGGAA
rnacentral:tRNA from 1 species